rnacentral:lncRNA from 1 species
UACCGGGUUCCGACUCUCGGUUGAACUUGGCUCAUCUUCUUGCGGCAAGCAGUAGGUUGACUUGGUCGAAGCUGCUGGAUAGCGCUUUGGUUGUUGCGUCUGCCCUUGUUAUGACUUGCUUGAGUUUGUGUUUAGAUUUUCUUUUUUUUUUCCGUUUCCUUUAUUUUUCCGUUUCUUGUCAUUCUCUGUAAUUCUGUCGAAAAUUUAAAAGCUU